GAUGAACGCUGGCGGCGUGCCUAAUACAUGCAAGUCGAGCGAACGGACGAGAAGCUUGCUUCUCUGAUGUUAGCGGCGGACGGGUGAGUAACACGUGGAUAACCUACCUAUAAGACUGGGAUAACUUCGGGAAACCGGAGCUAAUACCGGAUAAUAUUUUGAACCGCAUGGUUCAAAAGUGAAAGACGGUCUUGCUGUCACUUAUAGAUGGAUCCGCGCUGCAUUAGCUAGUUGGUAAGGUAACGGCUUACCAAGGCAACGAUGCAUAGCCGACCUGAGAGGGUGAUCGGCCACCCUGGAACUGAGACACGGUCCCGACUCCUACGGGAGGCAGCAGUUGGGAAUCUUCCGCAAUGGGCGAAAGCCUGACGGAGCAACGCCGCGUGAGUGAUGAAGGUCUUCGGAUCGGAAAACUCUGUUAUUAGGGAAGAACAUAUGUGUAAGUAACUGUGCAUAUCUUGACGGUACCUAAUCAGAAAGCCACGGCUAACUACGUG
rnacentral:rRNA from 1 species